rnacentral:rRNA from 1 species
UACGUAGGUGGCAAGCGUUAUCCGGAAUUACUGGGCGUAAAGCGUGCGCAGGCGGUUUCUUAAGUCAGAUGUGAAAGCCCCGGGCUUAACCUGGGAACUGCGUUUGAAACUGGGAGACUAGAGUGUGGCAGAGGGGGGUGGAAUUCCACGUGUAGCAGUGAAAUGCGUAGAUAUGUGGAGGAACACCGAUGGCGAAGGCAGCCCCCUGGGCUAACACUGACGCUCAUGCACGAAAGCGUGGGGAGCAAACAGG